rnacentral:sRNA from 1 species
GCAAUUUCCUUUUUCUCAUGCAUCGAGAAGCAUGCCCCAGGACUGGAACCAAAACACCUCAAUCUCUCUGCCGGCAAUGAAAGGUUAACAGAUUUAAGGGUUUUUCCUUGCCUUGUUUGCCACAAAAACUAAAACUAAACACUUGUCGUCAUCUUGCAGUCGUCGUCGUCGUCGUCUUUGAAAUCACAAAAGUUUAACAAGUUUCUCGUUUUUCAUGUCUCUUGAAAAGUUGCUAUUCACAAUUUUCUUUCUUGUUGCUUCCGCUGGGGGAACAGAGGAAGGCAAAGGCCUGAUGGCUCGAAGGCGCAGAGGCUUGAAGGGAAAUUUUAAUUAAACUAUUCAUGGAAGAAGAGAAGAAUUCAGAAGAGAAGGACGACUGGGGGCAGCAGCAGCAGCCCGGAGCAAAGUUUUGUGUGUGCAACAGCUGCCAGACAUAAACACAGACGCUUUUCAA